CAGCAGCCGCGGGAAUACGAAGGGGGCUAGCGUUGCUCGGAAUUACUGGGCGUAAAGGGAGCGUAGGCGGGUCGUUUAGUCAGAGGUGAAAUCCCGGGGCUCAACCCCGGAACUGCCUUUGAUACUGGCGACCUAGAGUAUGGGAGAGGUAAGUGGAACUCCGAGUGUAGAGGUGAAAUUCGUAGAUAUUCGCAAGAACACCAGUGGCGAAGGCGGCUUACUGGCUCGAAACUGACGCUGAGGCGCGAAAGCGUGGGGAGCAAACAGGAUUAGAUACCCGUGUAGUCCCUGUCUCUUAUAC
rnacentral:rRNA from 1 species